AUUGAACGCUGGCGGCAUGCUUUACACAUGCAAGUCGAACGGUAACAGGCCUUCGGGUGCUGACGAGUGGCGAACGGGUGAGUAAUGCAUCGGAACGUGCCCAGAGGUGGGGGAUAACGCAGCGAAAGCUGUGCUAAUACCGCAUGUGAUCUGAGGAUGAAAGCGGGGGACCAAGCAGCAAUGUUUGGCCUCGCGCCUCUGGAGCGGCCGAUGUCAGAUUAGGUAGUUGGUGGGGUAAAGGCCUACCAAGCCGACGAUCUGUAGCUGGUCUGAGAGGACGACCGGCCACACUGGAACUGAGACACGGCCCAGACUCCUACGGGAGGCAGCAGUGGGGAAUUUUGGACAAUGGGCGCAAGCCUGAUCCAGCAAUGCCGCGUGCGGGAAGAAGGCCUUCGGGUUGUAAACCGCUUUUGUACGGAAAGAAAAGGCUCUGGCUAAUACCUGGGGCUGAUGACGGUACCGGAAGAAUAAGCACCGGCUAACUACGUG
rnacentral:rRNA from 1 species